AUGUAAGAAGUGCCUUUCGCCUCCUGCCAUGAUUCUGAGUCCUCCUCAGCCAUGUGGAACUGUAAGUCCAAUGAAACCUCUUUUUCUUCCCAGUCUCAGGUAUGUCUUUAUCAGCUGCCUGAAAAUGGACUAAUACAGUAAAUUGGCACCAAUAGAGUGGGGCAUUGCUGAAAAGAUACCCGAAAAUGUGGAAGUGACUUUGGAACUGGGUAACAGGCAGAGAUUGGAACAGUUUGAAGGGCUCAGAAGAAGACAGGAAAAUUUGCAGCCUGACUAUGCAACAGAAAAGAAAACCCCAUUUUCUGGGGAGAAAUUCAAGCUGGCUGCAGAAAUUAGCAUAAGUAGCAAGGAGCCUAAUGUUAAUCCCCAAGACCAUGGGGAAAAUGUCUCCAGGCUAUGUCAGAGACCUUCAUGGAGGCCCCUCCCAUCACGGGACCAGAGGCCCAGGAGGAAACUGUGGUUUUGUAGGCCAUGCCCAGGGUCCCUGUGCUGUGUGCAAUCUAGGGACUUGGUGCCCUGUGUCCCAGCUGCUCCAGCCAUGGCUGAAAGGGGCCAAUGUAUAGUCGGGCUGUGGCUUCAGAGGGUGCAAGCCCAAGCCUUGGCAGCUUCCACAUGGUAUUGAUCCUGUGGGUGCACAGAAGUCAAGAAUUGAGGUUUGGGAACCUCUGCCUAGAUUUCAGAAGAUGUAUGGAAAUGCAUAGAUGCCCAGGCAGAAGUUUGUUGCAGGGGCAGGGCCUUCAUGAAGAACCUCUGUUAGGGCAGUGCAGAAGGAAAAUGUGGGAUUGGAGCCCCCACACAGAGUCCCUACUGGGGCACUGCCUAGUGGAGCUGUGAGAAGAUGGCCACUGACCUCCAGACCCCAGAAUAGUAGAUCCAUCUACCACUUGCACCAUGCACCUGGAAAAGCUGUAGACACUCAGUGCCAGACUAUGAAAACAGCCAGGAGGGAGGCUGUACCCUGCAAAGCCACAAGGGCAGAGCUGCCCAAGACCGUGGGAACCUACGUUUUACAUCAGCAUGACCUUGAUGUCUAAGGAGAUCAUUUUGGAGCUUUAAAAUUUGACUGUCCUGCUCUCCCUCUCCCUCUCCCUCUCCCUCUCCCCACGGUCUCCCUCUCCCUCUCUUUCCACGGUCUCCCUCUGAUGCCGAGCCGAAGCUGGACUGUACUGCUGCCAUCUCGGCUCACUGCAACCUCCCUGCCUGAUUCUCCUGCCUCAGCCUGCAGAGUGCCUGCGAUUGCAGGCGCGCGCUGCCACGCCUGACUGGUUUUCGUAUUUUUUUGGUGGAGACGGGGUUUCGCUGUGUUGGCCGGGCUGGUCUCCAGCUCCUAACCGCGAGUGAUCCGCCAGCCUCGGCCUCCCGAGGUGCCGGGAUUGCAGACGGAGUCUGGUUCACUCAGCGCUCAAUGGUGCCCAGGCUGGAGUGCAGUGGCGUGAUCUCGGCUCGCUACAACCUCCACCUCCCAGCCGCCUGCCUUGGCCCCCCAAAGUGCCGAGAUUGCAGCCUCUGCCCGGCCGCCACCCCGUCUGGGAAGUAAGGAGCAUCUCUGCCUGGCCGCCCAUCGUCUGGGAUGUGAGGAGCCCCUCUGCCUGGCUACCCAGUCUGGAAAAUGAGGAGCGUCUCUGCCCGGCCGCCAUCCCAUAUAGGAAGUGAGGAGCGCCUCUUCCCGACCGCCAUCCCAUCUAGGAAGUGAGGAGCGUCUCUGCCCGUCCGCCCAUCGUCUGAGAUGUGGGGAGCGCCUCUGCCCUGCCACCCCGUCUGGGAUGUGAGGAGCGCCUCGUCUGGGAGGUGAGGAGCAUCUCUGACCGGUCGCCCCGUCUGAGAAGUGAGGAGACCCUCCGCCUGGCAACCGCCCCGUCAGAGAAGUGAGGAGCCCCUCCGCCUGGCAGCCACCCCGUCUGGGAAGUGAGGAGCUUCUCCGCCCGGCAGCCACCCCGUCCGGGAGGGAGGUGGGAGUCAACCCCCACCAGGCCAGCUGCCCCGUCUGGGAGGGAGGUGGGGGUGUCAGACCCCGCCCGGCCAGCCGCCCUGUCCGGGAGGUGAGGGCCGCCUCUGCCCGGCCGCCCCUACUGGGAAGUGAGGAGCUCCUCUGCCCGGCCAGCCGCCCCGUCCGGGAGGGAGGUUGGGGGGUCAGCCCCCCGCCCGGCCAGCCGCCCCAUCCGGGAGGGAGGUGGGGGGGUCAGCCCCCCGCCCGG
rnacentral:lncRNA from 1 species